rfam:Gossypium arboreum cultivar AKA8401 contig_3023_7, whole genome shotgun sequence.
AACCCAUAGUGAGGGCACCUUCUCAAAAGAUCCUUGUAUCUUUCCCAUGCAUCAUAAAGAGUUUCUGCACAAACUAAGUGAUAUCAUUCAUCAAUUU